rnacentral:rRNA from 1 species
UACGUAGGGUGCGAGCGUUACUCGGAAUUACUGGGCGUAAAGCGUGCGCAGGCGGGCUUUUAAGCCAGACGUGAAAUCCCCGGGCUUAACCUGGGAAUGGCGUUUGGGACUGGAAGUCUGGAGUGCGGCAGAGGAGACUGGAAUUCCCAGUGUAGCGGUGAAAUGCGUAGAUAUUGGGAGGAACACCAGUGGCGAAGGCGGCUACCUGGACCGGUUCUGACGCUGAUGCGCGAAAGCGUGGGGAGCAAACAGG